AUCCCUCGAGGGUUGGUUCUCAAGUACGGGAUUAACAGUUGUCACUCGACGGGAGGCAAUAGAAUCUGAGGUUCCUGCAAAUAUUCUUUUAUUUUUCAAUGCCCCUUUUUCAACAACUUGAAUGGGUUCACACGUGGCUGUUAGAUGAGAUGUGAACCAUGAAAUGUAGUUCAAUCUAUCUAAGAAACCACGAACUUCUUUUUCUGUUCUCGGUUCAAGCAUUUCUGGUAUUGCUUUUUUUUUCUUUUUUUUUCCAGGAUCGACCUCGAUU
rnacentral:lncRNA from 1 species